UUCACUCGAUAUGGGUGCUGCCGGAUUGGGGCAGAGUUAUUCACCUCUACAUCGUGCUGUAUCACUGAUGUUUGUAUAGGAGUGUCAUUAAAGAGCAUAGGAUACUCUGUGAUUAGUUUGACCAUAUCGGAACUGUGUUCUUUUGGCAAAUGGUUAAGGUGGGAAGACAGAUCCGCUAGUACUUCUGAAUUUAGUAGCUUAGCGCACUGCUGUGGUGCGUUACGGAGCAGCAGACCGUCCUCAUCCCCAGCCAGAUCAGAAGUGACCACCGGGAACACCGAAGCUAUAGCCAAGAUCGUGUAAGGACCUGAGAAGCGAGCAGACAGCGCAGAACCUUGAAUAGGCAGCAAAACCAGCACCUGAUCUCCGACACUAAAGGAGCGCACAACCGACUUCCGGUCAUAACGCUUUUUCAUAGUGCUCUGAGAAGUGAAAGUUAGAUCCCUGAUCGGUCUGAAGCGUCUUAGGGAAGCCAAAGGUUGAAAAGAACUUGGUUAAAGCCUUCACCACUGCUUUGGCAGUAAUGGCACGGAGAGGAAUCGCCUCCGGAAAUCGUGUAGCUGCACACAUGAGGGUGACCAGACCAAGGGUUCUCGUGUGCCAACGAUAACACCUGCUGGCGAUACGGUGUAUUUGGUAACUAUUUGAGUUACCACACCCCAAUCCAUGCCAGCGGCAACAGGUAAUGACCAUUUCCUCAUCAACAGACCCUUUUCCACGAAAUAAGCUACUGGCCUAUCUUUCACAGCUUCAAGGGUGACAGCAGAUUUAAAACACUGCUUGAGUGAUGUAUCCGUUUUCUGAGCGUCAAU